rnacentral:piRNA from 1 species
UGCCUAGAAACCCAAAAGCAACGAUGGAC